ACAUUAAAAGGAACAUUGUUUUAUAAACCAAAUUGUAAACAUGGAUCCCCGUUUAAAAGCGGCUUUGCUUUUUCAAGACAAAAUUAUACGGCGGUGCACACUACCAUGCCGGGACAAGGUACAUUGUCACCCGGACUUGGCUUCCUCCCUACAACUGUGAGCCACUUCAAUCCCUUCCUAACCACACGUAUAUCCCCACGAAAGCAAGUUGCUCUUGUUAAUAAAGGCUGGUGGAACGACGGACUGAUGCAUUCUGACCGAUGCACACUCAGGGCUCAUAACGCCAUAAGCAAGCAACAUUAAUAGGCGGCACCUCCUUCUUCACAAGUCCCUCUAAUGAUUAAAAUGCAUCAGCAGCUGCAAAGCUAUUCACAAUCGGACGUGCCAUCAUCACCCACCUUCACACACAGACUGGGGAGCCCCUUUCAGUCCAGGCAGGAGACCAACACUGAGUCCCGAUAAGUGCCAGGCGAUGCACGCUCCGGUUAGUACUGAGUUCUCCCCCUUCCUUUAGGCCACUUAAAAAAAAAAAUUGGUUCUCGUCCCCUCCCGACCCGCCGAAAUGCCUCCGACCCGAAUUUUUUUAAAAUUUUUAUUUCGUAAAAAUCGCAUGGAAAACGCCCAAGAAUGACGAAAUUUGAAUUUCCCGUGCAUUCCACAUCGACGAUUGUCGAUUCGGAACCACUCGGGAACCCUCGGCGCAGAUGCCGUUUUCCAGCCAUUUUGUUUACACUUACUUUGAGUGGGGAAAUUCUCGGAUGUUUUCAAGAGGGUCCAGCUGCAGAAGACUGUAGAGUGGAACUCCACAGGAAAUAUGUCAGCUCCACAGGAAACACGUGAUCUUUAAGAACGUAAAGUGGGGCUAAUCUUUACGCCGUAAAAUGGAGCUCCACAGGAAACACGCCAUCUACACUGUGUUUGUACCAAGAGAGAGU